GAUGAACGCUGGCGGCGUGCCUAAUACAUGCAAGUCGAGCGAAGCGGGGACGGGUGAGUAACACGUGGAGAACAUCCUAUAAGACUGGGACAACUUCGGGAAACCGGAGCCAAACCCGACACUUAUAGAUGGUUCUGCGCUCCAUUAGCUAGUUGGUAAGGGAACGGCUUACCAAGGCAACGAUUCAUAGCCGACCUGAGAGGAUGAUCGGCCGCACUGGAACUGUGACACGGUCCAGACUCCUACGGGAGGCAGCAGUGGGGAAUCUUCCGCAAUGGGCGAAAGCCUGACGGAGCAACGCCGCGUGAAUGAUGAAGGUCUUCGGAUCGUAAAGCUCUGUUAUUAGGGAGGCGGUACCUAAUCAGGAAGCCACGGCUAACUACGUGCCAGCAGCCGCGGUAAUAC
rnacentral:rRNA from 1 species